rnacentral:rRNA from 1 species
UACGAAGGGUGCAAACGUUGCUCGGAAUUAUUGGGCGUAAAGAGCUCGUAGGCGGUCUGUCGCGUCUGCCGUGAAAACCCGAGGCUUAACCUCGUGGCUUGCGGUGGAUACGGGCAGACUAGAGGUAGGUAGGGGAGAAUGGAAUUCCCGGUGUAGCGGUGAAAUGCGCAGAUAUCGGGAGGAACACCGGUGGCGAAGGCGGUUCUCUGGGCCUUACCUGACGCUGAGGAGCGAAAGCGUGGGGAGCGAACAGG